ACACUGCUGAUUCAUUGGUAGAAUUCUCACCUUCCAUGUGGGAGACCCAGGUUCGAUUCCCGGCCAUUGCA
rnacentral:tRNA from 1 species